GACGAACGCUGGCGGCGUGCCUAAUACAUGCAAGUAGAACGCUGAAGGAGGAGCCUGCUUCUCUGGAUGAGUUGCGAACGGGUGAGUAACGCGUAGGUAACCUGCCUGGUAGCGGGGGAUAACUAUUGGAAACGAUAGCUAAUACCGCAUAAGAGUAGAUGUCGCAUGACAUUUGCUUAAAAGGUGCAAUUGCAUCACUACCAGAUGGACCUGCGUUGGAUUAGCUAGUUGGUGAGGUAACGGCUCACCAAGGCAACGAUACAUAGCCGACCUGAGAGGGGGGUCGGCCACACUGGGACUGGGACACGGCCCAGACUCCUACGGGAGGCAGCAGUAGGGGAUCUUCGGCAAUGGACGGAAGUCUGACCGAGCAACGCCGCGGGAGUGAAGAAGGGUGUCGGAUCGUAAAGCUCGGUUGUAAGAGAAGAACGAGUGUGAGAGUGGAAAGUUCACACUGUGACGGUAUCUUACCAGAAAGGGACGGCUAACUACGUG
rnacentral:rRNA from 1 species